UACAGAGGGGGCAAGCGUUGUCCGGAUUUACUGGGCGUACAGCGCGCGUAGGCGGUUGGAUAAGUCAGCUGUGAAAACCACGGGCUUAACUCGUGGCCUGCAGUUGAGACUGUCUGGCUUGAGUGUGGGAGAGGAGAGUGGAAUUCCUGGUGUAGCGGUGAAAUGCGUAGAUAUCAGGAGGAACACCGGUGGCGAAGGCGGCUCUCUGGACCACAACUGACGCUGAGGCGCGAAAGCUAGGGGAGCAAACAGG
rnacentral:rRNA from 1 species